CGCCUCCAUUCUGGCAGGGCUUGGCGCAGAUGGCUGAGGGUGCAGGAAGUGGGGUUCAGAACCUAGAGGAAGGCCUGGCUCUCCGCCCAUCGGGGCGCACCUCCCCCUAAGGCCCGGGAAGCCCUAGCCUCACCUUCAUCACAGGGCUCCACCCUUGGCCCCCUCGCCUGUCAUCAGUAUCAGGAGGAACCAGAGUCCGCCUAACACAGUGCACGGCUCAGCCCUGGACCCCAUGAUUCUCCUUGACUUCAGACUGCCAGCUGCAGGCAAGAAGAGAUUAAUGGAGGUCCUGCCCCUCUGCUAGCAACUUCUCCAGCUCCAGCGCUCCCAAGAACAGUCUGCUGGUGCCCUGUAAGCCAGGCAGGACAUUCAUUUGCACACUUGCACUAGCCACCAGGAUUGUCAGCACCUGCACAUAUUUAACACCCACCAUCCUUUAGCACAUCAUGGUCCAUGCAGCACCAUACAAGCUCACAGCCUGACCCACUCCCUCCACCUCCCCUCAGGCCCCUCCUAUCUCUGAUGUGCCCUCU